rnacentral:rRNA from 1 species
UACGUAGGGGGCAAGCGUUGUCCGGAAUUAUUGGGCGUAAAGAGCGCGCAGGCGGUCGAUCAAGUCGCGUGUGAAAGCCCCCGGCUCAACUGGGGAGGGUCACGCGAUACUGAUCGACUCGAAGGCAGGAGAGGGUAGUGGAAUUCCCGGUGUAGCGGUGAAAUGCGCAGAUAUCUGGAGGAACACCGGUGGCGAAGGCGGCAUCCUGGACCGACACGUGACGCUGAGGCGCGAAAGCUAGGGGAGCAAACGGGAU